rnacentral:lncRNA from 1 species
AUGAAUGAAGAAUGGAAAAUUCAAAUUAUGAACAGAAUAAAACAAAGAAACAUCUAUCAAAAUGAAAUAUAUAAAGAUAUGCUAUGUUCAUAUAAUAAGUUAAUCGAAGAAAAAAAACAACUGUUAGCUAUUAUUGCUUCGUUUACUAAUAAUAUUUAUUUUCCAAUAAAUAAUAUAAAUUCUAUUCUAUCGGUGAACCAAACUGUAACAGUAACAAAACAACAUUUAAACAAUGAUGAUCCUCUUAACAUGCUUGAUAAUAAUAUAGAUUCAAAUAUUAAUCAAAAAAAUACAAAUGAUUCACACAAUUCUACAAAUAACGCACUGUCACAGCCUAUCAACACAUUUUUAAAUAAUUGUGAAAACACGCUUUUAAAAAAGGAAAUUGUGCACGUUAUUAAAGAAAAAAACAAAGAUAAAGAGAUUAUUAGUUUAUUAAAAAGUAGUUUAAUUGAAAAAGAUAAAGUAUUAAAUAUUCUAAAUAAAGAGAACAAAGUGUUAAACAAUGUUAUAAUUAAAAAUGAGGUUGAGUUAUUAAAAAAAAAAAAAACAUUAUCAAAAUCGAGACACAUGUUAAAUAAAAAAAACAAGGAAUUAAAAUUAUGUGUAAAUAAUAAUAAUUUUUUAAAAAAUCAAAUAGAAUUAAAAAAAAAACAAAAUAAAAAAAUAUCCAAAGAAUAUGAUUAUCUUAAACAAAGCUGUUUUAAAUUAUUAAAAGAAGCAUAUCAAAUGAAAAAUUAUAAAAAAAAAAUAACUAAUGAAUAUUUUGCUCUACGUAAAGAAUUUUAUAAAAAAAAAAUCGAAAAUGAAAACCUUUUGAAACAUUUAUUAAAAUUUAAAAUUUCUUACAAACGUAAUUUAAAAAAAAUUCAAAAAAAAACAAAACAAAAAAUUAAAAAGUUACACAAAACGAACAAAGUAUAUAAAAAUAAAGUUAUAUUUUUUAAAAGGCAAAAAGUGUAUGUUCGUCUAUACUUAAAUAAGUUGCGACUACUGCAGUCUAACGAAUGGUUAUAG